CCGGAAUAAACUAAAUUACACUAAAAAUGAUUCUCAAAAUAAGAUACAGGAUCCGCUGAUCCUUGUUUCUGUACAGGCCUGUUCCACAGAUGGAUGAAAGGAGAUGAAGAUACCUCCAGGCACCCACACCCACACCACCACACCACCACACCGCAAGCACACAUUCGCAAUCGAACUCGAACUCGAACUCGUCAACGCUUUUGCACAACUAUACUAUUGCAGGAUGGAACCGGCCGAAAGCACAGUGGAUGGCAUCCUGGACAAGAGCUUCAUUGGGCAGAUAAACCAAGAAGCAAACUAUAUGCAGCCUCUACCUUGGUAUUGAAGGCUCUGCUGUCGAUGCCAUCGGCACAGGAUCCGCUGAUCCUUGUUUCUGUACAGGCCUCUUCCACAGAUGGAUGAAAGGAGAGGAAGAUACCUCCAGGCACCCACACCCACACCACACCACAACUAUACUAUUGCAGAAUGGAACCGGCCGAAGGCACAGGGGAUGGCAUCCUGGACAAGAACUUCAUUGGGCAGAUAAACCAAGAAGCGAACUAUAAGCAGCCUCUACCUUGGUAUUGAAGGCUCUGCUGUCGAUGCCAUCGGCACAGGAUCCGCUGAUCCUUGUUUCUGUACAGGCCUCUUCCACAGAUGGAUGAAAGGAGAGGAAGAUACCUCCAGGUACCCACACCCACACCACACCACAACUAUACUAUUGCAGAAUGGAACCGGCCGAAGGCACAGGGGAUGGCAUCCUGGACAAGAACUUCAUUGGGCAGAUAAACCAAGAAGCGAACUAUAAGCAGCCUCUACCUUGGUAUUGAAGGCUCUGCUGUCGAUGCCAUCGGCACAGGAUCCGCUGAUCCUUGUUUCUGUACAGGCCUCUUCCACAGAUGGAUGAAAGGAGAGGAAGAUACCUCCAGGCACCCACACCCACACCACACCACAACUAUACUAUUGCAGAAUGGAACCGGCCGAAGGCACAGGGGAUGGCAUCCUGGACAAGAGCUUCAUUGGGCAGAUAAACCAAGAAGCGAACUAUAAGCAGCCUCUACCUUGGUAUUGAAGGCUCUGCUGUCGAUGGCAUCGGCACUCGACACUGUGGGCUCUGGUCUCGGCUCUGAAUAUCGUGGAUCACAUUAAGAAACAGAACAACAAAUCACGGAUUAUUGCCAGCACAGAACACCAAUCGACACAUUUUAUCGACUUUGUUUAUAGCAAAUGGGGGAUCAUUAAAAAUUUGAUUUAAU
rnacentral:misc_RNA from 1 species